GAUGAAGAACGCAGCGAAAUGCGAUACGUAAUGUGAAUUGCAAAUUCAGUGAAUCAUCGAGUCUUUGAACGCACAUUGCGCCCCCUGGUAUUCCGGGGGGCAUGCCUGUCCGAGCGUCAUUGCUGCCCUCAAGCACGGCUUGUGUGUUGGGCCCCGUCCUCCGAUCCCGGGGGACGGGCCCGAAUGGCAGCGGCGGCACCGCGUCCGGUCCUCGAGCGUAUGGGGCUUUGUCACCCGCUCUGUAGGCCCGGCCGGCGCUUGCCGAUCAACCCAAAUUUUUAUCCAGGUUGACCUCGGAUCAGGUAGGGAUACCCGCUGAACUUAAGCAUAUCAAUAAGCGGAGGA
rnacentral:misc_RNA from 1 species